UGGCGAACGGGUGAGUAACACGUGGGUAACCUGCCCAUCAGAAGGGGAUAACACUUGGAAACAGGUGCUAAUACCGUAUAACACUAUUUUCCGCAUGGAAGAAAGUUGAAAGGCGCUUUUGCGUCACUGAUGGAUGGACCCGCGGUGCAUUAGCUAGUUGGUGAGGUAACGGCUCACCAAGGCAACGAUGCAUAGCCGACCUGAGAGGGUGAUCGGCCACACUGGGACUGAGACACGGCCCAGACUCCUACGGGAGGCAGCAGUAGGGAAUCUUCGGCAAUGGACGAAAGUCUGACCGAGCAACGCCGCGUGAGUGAAGAAGGUUUUCGGAUUCGUAAAACUUCUGUU
rnacentral:rRNA from 1 species